UGCAUUUUGACAUCCGGAAGUGACAUGAGGAGGCGUUUACAGACACACACGGAAAUGCGCAACGAUUGCAGAUGUCACGGGGACAUCAAUUUUAUUAUGGAUGAUUCUGAUGGAAUUGCAUUCAAAGUGAAUUCUUCAUUAUAAAGGCCCUGCAAGCCCACGGAGCCACAACGGUGAGAGGUCAGACCGCAGAAGACAUGAACAGACAACCCUGACAUUAAGCAAUCAGAUUAGAAAUAUAGACAACCAAACUGACUGUAAAAUGUCUCUGCUGUAAUAAUCACAGUCUAAUAAUGCCUCUAUCUAUACAUUUUGGGAGGGUUUUUAAUGCACACAACCAUUAAACAGCAUCACCAUGUUGUCUGAGUAGAAACAACAUGGAGAUGAGCCCGUUUUGUAGUUCAGACUGUAGGUGAAUCACCAUCUCACUAUCAGCACUAAUACAUUCUCAUGAUUUAUCAAUGUAAUUAUUCCCUUACUGGAUUUGGACGAAGAUGUGACAUUUUAUUCUGAAGAUGAUUUCAUAUGGAAUGUGCCAGUCUUCCACUGCUGAAGCCUUGAGGACAGCCUGGUCCCAGAUCUGUGCUGUGACAACGACCAUAGGAGCUGCUAUAUGGCGAGACACCACAGACACAUCUGAGAUCAGGCUAUUGAAAACAGGCAGGGAGGAGAGGUGACUACUGAUGAAUAAAAUAAACUAUUCAUAA